GUGGUGGGACAUUUUCGAGCGGUCUGAAAGUUAUCAUAAAUAAUAUUUACCAUAUAAUAAUGGAUAAAUUAUAUUUUUAUCAAUAUAAGUCUAAUUACAAGUGUAUUAAAAUGGUAACAUAAAUAUGCUAAGCUGUAAUGACAAAAGUAUCCAUAUUCUUGACAGUUAUUUUAUAUUAUAAAAAAAAGAUGAAGGAACUUUGACUGAUCUAAUAUGCUCAACGAAAGUGAAUCAAAUGUUAUAAAAUUACUUACACCACUAAUUGAAAACCUGUCUGAUAUUCAAUUAUUAUUUAUUAUUAUAUAAUUAUAUAAUAAUAAAUAAAAUGGUUGAUGUUAUGUAUUGGAAAUGAGCAUACGAUAAAUCAUAUAACCAUUAGUAAUAUAAUUUGAGAGCUAAGUUAGAUAUUUACGUAUUUAUGAUAAAACAGAAUAAACCCUAUAAAUUAUUAUUAUUAAUAAUAAAAAAUAAUAAUAAUACCAAUAUAUAUAUUAUUUAAUUUAUUAUUAUUAUAUUAAUAAAAUUUAAUAUAUAUUAUAAAUAAUUAUUGGAUUAAGAAAUAUAAUAUUUUAUAGAAAUUUUCUUUAUAUUUAGAGGGUAAAAGAUUGUAUAAAAAGCUAAUGCCAUAUUGUAAUGAUAUGGAUAAGAAUUAUUAUUCUAAAGAUGAAAAUCUGCUAACUUAUACUAUAGGUGAUAUGCCUAUCUUUAUUUAUAUAUAUAUUAUUAUUAUUAAUAAUAAAAAAAAAUUAAAAAAGAUAGGAGGUUUAUAUAUAACUGAUAAAUAUUUAUUAUAUUAUUUUUUUUAUAAUAAAUAUUAAAAGAUAUUGCGUGAGCCGUAUGCGAUGAAAGUCGCACGUACGGUUCUUACCGGGGGAAAACUUGUAAAGGUCUACCUAUCGGGAUAC
rnacentral:ncRNA from 13 species